AAAGAGGACUAUGGCGAUAACUGGAACGUCAGGAUGAAAACUGCUUUCUGAAUACGGUAGGCAAACAAUCAAAACAAAGAAAUGAAAACCCCUAAACCAAGCCAUCCAUCACUUAUGAAACACCGUUGAGAAUACGAUGCAAUUCUGUUUCUGACAGUUCGGCGUUGACAGUUCGAUACUGCGGGUGUGCAGGUGACAGAACUUGUGGUUUUCUGAGGCCCCAUGUCUGGGCAGCUUGGCAGUUAAAAUGCGAAGGUUUUCUGAAAGAUUGUUGGCUCUAGAAUAGGUAGCUCUGUGUGCUUUAGUGAUGUCCUGCUUCUGAUUCUUGUCUGCAGCGACUGCGGUAUUAGUGAGCGUCUUGUAGGUAAUGAAUGGGCCCCAGGAAGAUGUCAGGAUGGGGCUUUCUGAUGGACAAGGAUUAGUUCAGGAGUAAGAAUCCAUGAACUUUUAAGGCAGAGCCUUUAGAGAGUGGUUGGUUCAAGCUCAUCACAUGACACAACCUUGUUACAAGCUGCAUUCCCGAGGAAGGACAAGGACAAAUGGUGAGGGAGGGGGCUGUGAAAACAAGGGCAGUCUGCUAGGGUCCAGAACACUUGAGUCCUGUCUCCCAAAGACCAAAUGUUUCUUAGAAUUUUGUAAACCCACCCCCAUCAUCCCUGCUACCCAUUCCCACCCUCAUACAUUUCUCCUCCUACAGGAUUUUUUAAACUUAAAAACAAAUUAAAGUAUAAUUAAUUUACAAUGUACCAAUUUCUGCUGUGCAGCAAAGUGACCCGGUCAUAUUAAUACAUACAUUCCUUUUCUUUAAAAAAUUUUUAAUUUCAGUUUAUUUACAAUGUUCUGCCAAUUUCUGCUAUACAGCAAAUUGACCCAGUUAUACAUACAUACAUUCUUUUUCUCACAUUAUCCUCCAUCCUGAUACAUCACAAGUGUAUACAGUAGGAUCCAAUUGGCAAUCCCCUCCACAUGCAACUUUUGCAUUGUGGCUCAGUGGGUUAAGAGCCUGACUAGUAUACAUGACGAUGCAAGUGAUCCUGGCCUCGCUCAGUGGGUUGGUUAAGGAUCCAGAGUUGCCGCAAGCUGUGGUGUAGGUUGAAGAUGUGACUCAGAUGUGGGUAUUGACGUGGUUGUGGCUGGUAUAGACCAGCAUCUGCAGCUCUGAUUUGACCCCUGGUCUGGGAACUUCCAUAUGCCGCAGGUGCAUUCCUAAAAAGAAAAAAAAAUUUUUUUUUGAGGGAAUAAUAAGUCUCUCUCUCAGAGCGAGAGAGAUAGAAAGAAACUUGGCUGCCUUGCUCAGGUGGGACCUGGUGGGAUGGCCCAGACAUCCUCCCAUAAGAAACCCCUGGGAGCCCUGUUUGCUGGAGUAACCUCGAGUCACAUCAAGCGUCAACUCAAAUGGGGUCAAACUGUCGCCAGUUUGCAGAUGCUGCCUCAGAGAGAUUUGCUGGGGCUGGGCUCCUUCCACCCUGGAGGACAGGCAGGCUUUGCAUCGUGGGCCUACUGCACUGACCUGGCUGGCCAAGGCCUUCUGAAGCAAUAUGUAAUGGGCAUGUUCCUACAGCUCAGGUCGGGCAAGCCAGGGAUCUGUAAGAGGGUAAGGGUUGGGAAAAGCCAUAUCUUAGGGAUGGGCUCUUGGGUGAAUAAGGCCUCUACCUAAUUCCAAUUCUUUGGACACUGAAGGGCAAGCCUUGGGUGGAUAGCUUACACUGUUCCAAAUUUACCAUGAUUAAUUAGGUCCUGGAUCCAUGUUCAUGAUGAUAAUAGAUGGAGAUGUUGUGAGCUAUGGUAAGAUAGCUAAAGACCAAAUUGAAAAUGGAGCUCUAUGUUGCUUAAUUUGCCAUAAUAUAUUUCCUGAUUGUUUUUUUUUUCUUCUUUUAUGGCCUCACGCAUGGCAUAUGUAUGUUCCCGGGGUAGGGGUUAAAUCUGAGUGGCACCUCCAGGCAACACUGGAUCCUUUAACCCACUACACUGGGCUGGGGAUUGAACCCGUGCCUCUACAGCAACCCAAGAGGCUGCAGUUGGAAUCUUAACCAGCUGGGCCAUGUUGGGAACUCCUGUUUCCUGACUUUUAUUUUUAUUUUUUAUUUAUCUUUUUCUUUUUUGGCCGUUCCGUGGCACAUGGAGUUCCUGGGCCAGGGAUCGAACCUGUGUCCCAGUGCUCUCAAGAUGCCUUCAAAUCCCGUUGUGCCACAGCAGGAACUCCUGUCUCCUGAUUUAUAAAGAUAGUUUUACUAAUUUUUUCCCUGAAUUUCAAACUUAGCAUGCUUAUUGUAAAAAAAAAGAAAAUUUCUUUAUGAAAAUUUGUACAAAUGCUCUCCAAGUUCUCACAGUGAACGUGGAUAGGACAACUGGAGAAGGAGGAGACUGAGCACAAACCAGUGUGGCCUGCUUUUUAUUUAGGGGGUUCUGAGCAAACUUCUGGGCAUUGCUAAGGACCAAACUCUUCUUCUACUCCCAGUUCUUCGUUUUCUGGGUCUUGUAAAACAGUGCGUGGGAGGAAAAGGCACCACCAUAUGGGGAUCUGGGCAGACCUAGUUUGAAACUCUGUCCCUCUGUGGCUGUGAUGUACAACUUGGCAUACUUUUGAAAGCUUGCUGUGCUUUUACCUCUGGAGUGGGGGAUAACAAUACUUAACUUGUAGGGCUAUUGUAAGGUUAAAAGAAAGAUGAUCCUUAUCAAAUGCCUGGUGCUUGGCAUGUAGUGGCUCUAAAACAGAAGCAAGUGGACCCAGUCUCCUGUCUAAUAUCAGAGUAGGCGCUGGGAUACACAAUUUUAUUUCUGACCACGCCCUCGGCCUUCGGAAGUUCCCAGGCCAGGGAUCAAACCCAUGCCACAGCAGUGACAACCCUGGAUCCUUAACCCAUUGAGCCGCCAGGGAACUCCGGCACUAGGAUAUUACAGAAUUGCCUGGUCCUGAGAUCUGUUGGGAGAAUCGCUGCCCUCCUUCGCUCAGAGCUCCUUAGUGUUUGACCAGGACAGUUCUGUCUCCUCCUCCAUGCGAGGCCCACGUAAAUGCAAUCACUUCCUCACCCAUCCCAGCAGCACUAGGGCUGAGUCAGGAAGAAUUCUCUUCUCCCUUCUACACUCCUCUCCUGCUCUCCAAGAUGUGUACUUGUUUCCCCUUUGGACAUGGCACCCUCCACUUUUUUUUUUUUUUUCCUUUUUUUAAGGGUUGCUCCUGAAGCUAUGGAGGUUCCCAGGCGAGGAGGUCAAAUUGGAGCUGCAGCUGCUGGUCUAAGCCACAGCCACAGCAAUACAUGUUCUGAGCCACAUCUGUGACCUACACCACUGCUCACAGCAACACUGGAUCCUUAACCCCCUGAGGGAGGCAAGAGAUUGAACCCGAUUCCUCAUGGGUGCUAAUUGGGUCCGUAACCCGCUGAGUAGGAACUCCCAACCCCUUCUAUCUUUAACUAAACUGGGUUAUUGCCUAUUUAAAAAUGUGGGGUUUUUUUGGCAUGUAUCUUGGGGAGCAGAAGGCAUCUGAGAGGCACAGUAGAUUUGCCUGGCUCCUCAAGCCAAGAGAUACCUGGUUUCAGUGCUCUCUGCCCUGCAUGUUGCUCCAUUUCAGUGAUCUGUCACACAGUGACUACUCCCUUUGCCACCCUCUGGAAGGGAAGAGCCACCCCCCCCCUUUUUCUUUUUAUGGCUGUACCUAUGGCAUAUGGAAGUUCCCAGGCUAGGGGUUGAAUUGCAGCUACAGCUGCUGACCUACAAUGCAACCACGGCAAUGCAGGAUUCAAGCCACAUCUGUGACCCAUAUCACAGCUCACAGCAACACUGGAUCUUUAACCCACUCAGUGAGGCCAGGGAUUGAACCCGCAUCCUUAUGGAUACUAGUUGGGUUCAUUACCACUGAGCCACGAUGGGAACUGCCGCAAGAGCUCUGUUAAUCUCUUGCAAAGCUAGCCUUGGAAGGUAAGGUGAUGGCUUUAGAAAAACAGAGUUAUUGUAUUUUCAGAGACAGUAUGAGAAUCUAGGGGCAAAGGAAAUAUUCAACCUUCAUUUUUAUUGAGAGAUUAAGUCAAGUAACUUUAAGUUUCGAGAAGGAGGAAUCUAAUUUGGG
ensembl:lncRNA